AUACGGAGGGUGCAAGCGUUAUUCGGAAUCACUGGGCGUAAAGGGUGCGUAGGCGGUUUGAUAAGUCUGAUGUGAAAUCCUAUGGCUCAACCAUAGAACUGCAUUGGAAACUGUCAGACUAGAAUACUGAAGGGGCAGAUGGAAUUAGUGGUGUAGGGGUAAAAUCCGUAGACAUCACUAGGAAUACCGAAAGCGAAAGCGAUCUGCUGGGAAGUUAUUGACGCUGAGGCACGAAAGCGUGGGGAGCAAACGGGAUUAGAAACCCCAGUAGUCC
rnacentral:rRNA from 1 species